rnacentral:rRNA from 1 species
CAGCAGCCGCGGUAAUACGGAGGGUGCAAGCGUUACUCGGAAUCACUGGGCGUAAAGCGCGCGCAGGCGGCCUUUUAAGUUGGAUGUGAAAGCCUAUGGCUCAACCAUAGAACUGCAUCCAAAACUAUCAGGCUAGAGUGUGGGAGAGGAAGAUGGAAUUAGUUGUGUAGGGGUAAAAUCCGUAGAGAUAACUAGGAAUACCAAAAGCGAAGGCAAUCUUCUGGAACAUUACUGACGCUGAGGCGCGAAAGCGUGGGGAGCAAACAGGAUUAGGUACCCUGGUAGUCCACGCCCUAAACGAUGAAUGUUAGUCGUCGGGUAGCUAGUCUAUUCGGUGAUGCAGCUAACGCAUUAAACAUUCCGCCUGGGGAGUACGGUCGCAAGAUUAAAACUCAAAGGAAUAGGCGGGGACCCGCACAAGUGGUGGAGCAUGUGGUUUAAUUCGAAGAUACGCGAAGAACCUUACCUAGCCUUGACAUAUUUUAGAACACUUUAGAGAUAGAGUGGUGCCUUCGGGAGCUAAUAUACAGGUGCUGCACGGCUGUCGUCAGCUCGUGUCGUGAGAUGUUGGGUUAGUUCCCGCCACGAGCGCCACCCUCGUCACUAGUUACUACGGGUUCGGCCGAGGACUCUAGUGAGACUGCCUUCGUAAGGAGGAGGAAGGUGAGGACGACGUCAAGUCAUCAUGGCCCUUACGGCUAGGGC